CGAAGCUGCAUGAACAGGAGGCCUAGAUCCCAUGCCACCUACCACUGUUGCACCAAUGCCCCUCUCAGCUCACACCUCGUGGGGGUCUCCCCGUGACCAGCUGAGAGGACGGACAAGGCUGAGGUUGGUUCGUGCAUGGAUCGGGCUCAGUGUUGGUGUGCGCUGAAGACAAUUGCGGUUGCACUCACUUCCUGCUGGGGGCGUGGCCUCAAAGACAGUGGGCGGAGCUUUGGGUGGACCCCUGGCCACCUAUGUGUGUAAAGAGAGAAGUGGCCUGAGGUCAGGGUAUGCGUGGGCUCAGGGGCAGUGGCUGAACUGGUCGGGAGAGUCUGCAAGGAGCAAGACAGGAAGAAUGGGAAGAUGUGGGGGAGGCGUGUGCGUGGACUGGGGGAGGGGCACACCGCGUGAGGAUCCUCGUCUCCCACGUUAACCCCUGGGAGCAUCCGGUGCACAGGGACACUAAACAACCAGGUGGACGGGAUGACCCUGCCAGCCUUUGUCCUGGGCGGCCACCGCACUUGGGCCACAGGCUCAUGAAGUGGAACAGUUACGGUGGCAGAGCUGGACGCCACUCCUGGGCCCGAGAGAAGGUGUUUCUACUCAUCGAGGCUGCUGUGGUUGCUGCACCUCUGCGUGUCUGACCUGUCAGCUACUGAGGCCGACUCUAAGCUCCCGAGAUGGUACCAUCCCCUUGAGGCGGCCAACCAGCCAGGCACUUGGUGGCAAGUUAAUUUCAUUGGACCCCCUUCCAUCUUGGAAAAGGCAGGUGGCUGAUUCACUGGCGUGGAUCCUGAGCAACACCACCCAUGGCCAAGGGAUUGACCUUCUGGGAAAAGUGCAGCAGCAGGGGACGUGGUAAGGGUUCCACCCAACUUCAAGCUGCCGUUCUGCCUGUCUCUCUGGGCCCCCGUGCCAGUGGCGCAGCAGGCACAGAAAGGCGACUCCAUGCGGGCAGGAUGCGAGGUCCCGGCCAUCAUGAGGAACCAGUGCUGCUGGAUGGUGGGGACAGGGAGGGUGUGACGGGCACUCAGGUGUCCACCCAGCGAUUGUGACCAAGUGUGCUGGAGAAGAUGUGCCUGGAUGGAGGAGUGGAUGCACGAAGCAGUUUCCCUUCCUUGAUGACAAGUGUGACUUCUGGAGAAGAUUCACCUUCUGGGAAUCCAGGGGUUUCUCCCGGCCCACGUGGACGGGGAGACGGGAUACAGAGUGUUGGGAGGUGAGAAGCAAGAAGGAACGUUCUGGAAACAUUAUCACCGCUCAGCCCUCAGUCCGACCCGCCUUCCCCAGGAGGCCCUGAGCUCUCCUCACGGGCUCCUGCUUCAUCUUCUGUAUUUUCUCCUUAACACCUAAGACUUGACGUGAUCUCCGGUCUGUGCCUGUUUGUUUAUUAGCUGUUUCUUCCACUGGAAGUCGGCCCCAGUAUUCACUGAGCAAACGGACAACCCUUCCUGGGUCAAUACAUGUUAUCUGCCCCUUGCCUUUAAAAAAACAUGGGGUAAAAUAGCCAUGACAUAAAAUUUACCAUUUUGACCACUUUUAAGCAUACUGUUCGGUGGCAUUAAGCACAUUCAUGUUGUCGUGCAACCGUGACCACCGUCCACGUCCAGAGCGUUUCCGUCUUCCCCAGCUGAAGCUCUGGCCCCGUUAAACACUGACUCCCCAUCCCACUCCCUCCACCCCUGGCACCCGCCCCUGUUCUGCUUUCUGUCCCUAGGCACUUGACCCCUCUGGGGGCCUCGUGGAAGAGGAAUCAUACCGCACUUGUCUGUGUCUGGCUUCUUUCACUUAGCAGAAUGUCUUUCAGGUCACUCAAUGUGACACGUGUCAGAAUUUCCUCCCUUUUUUAAGGCUGAAUAAUAUUCCAUUGUCUGGAUAGGUCACACUUCAGCCUUUUCUUUUAAUGACUGAGUAGGAUAGCUUCAUUUAGUUGAAAAUUCUGUAUUGAGAGACAUUUAGCUUUCCUUUUUUAUUUUUCUAUCUACUAACGAUGCAGGAAAACAUACCCUUUAAUAUGUUUUUUAUAUACUCAUGCUAUGACUUCUGUAGGACACAUUUCUCAAAGUGGGAUGGCUGGGUCGUUGGGUAGAAGCAUUUCAAAUGUUUUUAGACACCAGCAAAUUGUUCUCCCGAAAUGUUAUACUAAUUUCUGCUUGCAGCAAAAGCAUUUGAGCGAGUCCUUUCUCUCACCCUAAGUUUCUAUCUUCUAAAAUGUUGCCAAUCUGGUAGAUAAAAUAUGAUUAGCUCAUUGUUUUUUUUUUCUUUGUUUUUAUUGAGGUAACAUUGGUUUAUAACAUUAUAGAAAUUUCAGAUGUACAUCAGUAUAUUUCAGUUUCUGUGUAGAUUACAUCAUGUUCACCACCCAAAGACUAAUUACCAUCUCUCACCACAUACGUGUACCCUCUCACCCUUUCUACCCUCCCCCCUCUGCCUGCCCCCUCUGGUGACCACCAAUCUAAUCUCUGUAUCUAUGUGUUUGUUGUUGCUUUUAUCUUCAAUUUAUCAGUGAAAUCAUACGGUAUUUGAUUUCUCUGUCUUAUUUAUUUUGCUUUUGGCAUAAUACCCUCAAAGUCCACCCACAUUGUCGCAAAUGGCAAGAUUUCAUCUUUUUUCUGGCUGAGUGGUAUUCCACUGUGUGUAUACACCACACCUUCCUUAUCCACUCAUCCAUUGAUGGGGGCUUAGGUUGUUUCCACGUCUUGGCUAUUGUGAAUAAUGCUGUAACGAACAUAGGGC
ensembl:lncRNA